rnacentral:lncRNA from 9 species
AGAGUUGGAAGACAGGGACGAGCUUUUGAGAGCCACAGUUCGAUGCCGAGGGCUGAAAGAAGGUUAAAGUUGGGUACAGAAUACGUCUUAGGACACAAGGCUUGAGACUUGAGAUCCAGCAUGGAAAUUAAGGUUCUCUCCUGAAGGAAGUUCUGAGCAUUGCUUUGAGUCACCACCAUUAUCGAAGUUGGGAUCUAGUAAGUAUGUAGCAGUUCAUCAAACUUAUAUGACUCUGAACCCAGUUUGAACAUGUGUAUGGUGGUGGUGGGUGGGUUCCAGCAACUCUCUGGAU